AUUAAUACACAUACAUAUCUAUAAUAUUGUAUAUUCUUGUAUUGUUAACAAAUGAAAUAGUUUAUGUAAUUUACAAAGUAUUAUGCCGAAGACUUCUGUUUUAAAGACACAUUUCUUAAUUUUUGCAUAUGUCUUAACUUGAUUGCUGUGUACUCUUCACUCUCAAGGAAUUUAUCUCCAAUCAGGCUAAGUGGGUCUCCCAUGAAAAAAUUAACAUGUGUUGAGAUCAGUACACAACAAUAGUUAUAUCUUCAACAAAUGAUAAUGUCAUCUCUAAAUGUUAAAUUACUUGAUCAGUCAAAAAUAUUGCCUUAAAUAUGCCUGCUUCUAAUAAUAAUAAAACAUAAUAAUAUAUAAUUUAUAGGAAAAGUGUAGAAAGCAAGGUAAAUGAAGAAGACAUCUUGAGUGUUUAUUUCUUGCAAACAAAUUUACUGCCGCUGUCUUUCUAACUUUCCCAGCAUUUCGAAAAAGGCCCAAAAAUAAUAAUACCACUCGACGUUCGGAGCGCUUGAAGUGCACACCUGGUACUUUAAACUCGCUUUUUUUCAAAACACACUUUUUUAAACUGGCGGACAUGAUUUCGGUCGAACUACUCAACCGAUUUGCUUAAUCGUCCCUACUAAAUUCAUAAUUUUUUAUAGUUUAUUGACAAUGUUAUGACAAAAUUUAUGCCCCUAUUACGGGUUUCAACCCGACUUGGUCGAAUUGAAGUUAAGGCAAUUCAACUUCAGAUCAACCAAACUCUAUUUCGGUAUUGCGAACUUCAACUAAGUUCAGUCGAAGUAUGAUUGGCGUUGCCAACCUAAGAAAGGGAAAUUUGACAGAUGGUGAGCGACAGUUGUCGCUCGCGAAAAAGUGAAUAAACAUUAAAAUAAAUAAAUAGAUAUAAGUUUUGAUUUAUAUUACAAUGACGAAAAUAUUGUGGACAAAAUUGAUGUGCUACGUAUACGAAAAAGCCUUCGUGAUCAAAUCCAUUGGAGCUUCCAAAUGCAAAAUUCAUUAGUUAUUUUUGAUUAAAUAAAGAAGCAUUUUGUUUUUUACUGAAUGAGAUGAAGGAACAUUUCCACAAACGUGUGCGAGGAAUGGCCAUACCUCCUAUAUUAAAAUUAUGUGCAACUCUACGUUUCCUUGCUGACGGUGGUUAUCAAAAAUGCAGUGGAAAUGAUUUUAACAUUGGGUUGGCGCAACCUACGAUAUCUUUAGUAAUUAAAGAGGUUCUAAAUAUAAUUGAACAACGUAUUUGUGCCCAAUAAAUUAAAAUUCAAAAGACUGAGAAGGAGCAAAACGCUUAAAAAGUUUCAUUUUAUUCAAAAAGUGCUUUCCCGGGAGUAGUUGGUUGCAUCGACGGGACUCAUGUUCGCAUAAUUUCACCAAGAAAAGAAGUGCAACAUCUUUAUCUUAACAGAAAGGGCUACUACAGUUUAAACGUGAUGAUUCUUUAUGAUUAUAAAAUGUCUAUUCGGUAUGUGGAUGCCAGGCAUGCAGGCGCAAGUCAUGACUCUUUUGUUUUCAAUGUUAGCGAUUUGAAAGUGCAUUUACAGAACAACAUACAGAAUAAUACUUGGAUCUUGGGUUAGACUUUAUCGUAUUUAUUGCUAAAUAAUUGGAGUAAUGUAAUUUCUUAGGUGACGCUGGCUAUCCUCUGUACAAAUUUUUAAUGACGCCUUAUCGCUUGGCGGAAGCUUCUUCACCCCAAGCACGCUACAAUACAGUACACUCAAAGGCCCGGAAUAUUGUAGAGCGGACAAUUGGUGUACUCAAGAGUAGAUUUCAAUAUCUUUUAUCUGUACGAGGUUUACAUUACACUCCUGAAAAGGCUACGCAAAUUGUGAAUGCUGUUGCACAGUAUUUGCCAACACUUUCAAGUGGGAUCUCCGGAAGAAAUACUAUCUACUUUAAAUAUUACAAUGACCAAUGAUGUUUUGGGCAUAAAAAGAGAAGAAGAGGAUACAGCUCGAAUAAUUUGCAAUAAUAUUAUGACUUCCCUCUAAACAAUUAAGAUAUUAAAUUUCAUUUAUUCUUUCUAAUGUGCUAUUUAUUCAGGCAUAUAUUUAAAUUUUAUUUAAAUAAAUUCAUUCAUUCAAUAAGAAUAUCACUUCACUUUUUAAUGUAAGCUUAAACUAUGGUACAAAAAUAUAAAAUAUCACUUCAUUCAAGAAUAAUUAAAAAUAAAAUAAAAAAAUAUUAUUUCGUGUGUUAAAUAACCAAAAAAAAAAAUUAAAAUCUUUGCGAAGAUUUUAAUUUAGCAAUUUUGAGGCGCUGCACCUCAAUUUUAAGUGCAUGGAGUUCAUGCGCCUCGUUUGCUUUCCUUUCGUAUAUCUCCAUUUUCCUUUUUUUUUUAUAUCUAAAGCUUCUUUUUGGAGAGUAUAAGAUUUAUGUACAGUUUUCUCCAACUGUUCAAUUUUUUUUUUUUAAUUUGCUGUUGCGUUUCAGCCUGGGUUGAAAGGAGUUGCAGCCUUUCCGACUCCAUGCAAUUGUUCGCCCUCCUUAACUGAACUCUCCUGGAAGGAGUCGGGCGUUCCUGCACAACUGGAGUGUAGGAGGUAUAUUCUCCACACCAAAUGCUGGCCCACUUGGUGCAACUGCUUAAUUGAAUAAGCUGGGCUCAGCGACUGCUCCUGCGACGGUCCACCACCAGUCGCAAGGUAGUUAUUCCUGUUGUUGGCAAAUUUUUUCUUGAGAUUUUCCUUAUAGUGAAUCCACACCUAAUAAAAAAUUAAUAUUUUUAAUGUCAUAACCAUAACUUACUCGUCCCCAUUCGUAGGCAGUUCUGCUUGGUGGCCCUAAACAAUUUAACUGCAGUGCCACACUCUCCCACAAUUCUUUGAUUUUAAAUUUAUUGUUUCCAAAUUGUGGCUUUCCUCUUCCUACUUCUAGAAACUUCUCCAUUAACUCCACCAAUUUUUCGAAUUGCCCUUUUGUUGUAACUUUAUUUUUUCUAAAAAUUUAUAAAAAAUAUGAAUUAAAAUUAAUUUAACAUUAAUAAAAAUAGUUAUUUUACCCGUUCUCCAUUUUUCUUUAAUAUUUUUUUGUAUUUCACUGCACGAAGGAGUCGAAGUUUAUUUAUAUACUAGUCAACCCCACUUGUACAGUGUUGAAAACCGCAAUACCAAAAAAAGUUGAAGUUCGAUCAUACUUCAACGCAAUUUUUUUUUGACGGAUUGAGUUGAAGUUGGCAAUACUGAAUUUUUAAAUUUCGACUGAAAUGCAGUUGGGUUGAAAACCGCAAUAGGGGCAUUGUAUUAAAAAAACAUGGGGAAAAUUAAAAAAAAAAAACGUCAAUUACUUUCUUAUUUAUCAACAUUUUUUCAUGAUUCUAGGACGAUGAACAUUCUUUAUACUUUUUAAUAAUAAAUU